rnacentral:rRNA from 1 species
UACGUAGGGUGCGAGCGUUGUCCGGAAUUACUGGGCGUAAAGGGCGCGUAGGCGGCCUUCUAAGUCGAACGUGAAAUCCCCGGGCUCAACCCGGGAACUGCGUCCGAUACUGGAAGGCUUGAAUCCGGGAGAGGGAUGCGGAAUUCCAGGUGUAGCGGUGAAAUGCGUAGAUAUCUGGAGGAACACCGGUGGCGAAGGCGGCAUCCUGGACCGGCAUUGACGCUGAGGCGCGAAAGCUAGGGGAGCGAACGGG